rnacentral:lncRNA from 1 species
GCAGGGUCCACGCGGAGGCCCGGGUGGUGCACGGGUCACGUUCAAGGAAACAAGAAGUUCAGUGUCUGAAGCUUAGGCAGUCAGGACACAGGCCGAGGUGAUGGUCAGGGGCCAGUGGCACCGAGCCUUGGGUUAAGGAGUUAGGACCUUGUCCUGAGGACACUGGAGAAACACGGGAAAGCUCCAGGCAGGAGGACUUGAUCAGAUCUGCGUUCCACAAAAGUCCCUCUAAGGGCCAAGUGGAGGUGGGUUACAGAGAGACGGGAGGCCAGGGCCCGGGAGGAGGCCAGGCAGAGACAAGGUGGGAGAGGACAGGGUGGACCAAGGCAGGGCCAUGAAAGGCGAGAAGGGGGCAGAUGGGGGAGACAGCCAGGAGUCCUGGUGGACAAGCUAGGGAGACUGACGGGUGGAGCUGGUGGCCGGGGUGGGGAGCGAGGCAUCAAAGACGGGCUCGGGGCUCUCUCGUGAGCCUGGGGUACGGAGGGGCCACUCCUGAGACAGGGGCCGAGAGGAGGAGCAGGUUUGCAAUUUGGGACAAGCUCUGUCAGCUGACGGGGACUAGAAACAGUGACAGCCCAGCAGCAAUGACCACGCUCAGUGCCCAGACCUGGGUGUCUAAGUCCACCUCCAACAGAAGGAACCAGGGCCCCCUGGAGAAAUGGCGAUCCCAGGGCCGGAGCAGGGAAAACACAAGACAAGCCUGGAGCAUCUCACAGCGCCAGGAGGAGCUGGAGCUUAAUUCUCCUCCCUCCGAGUGUGGGCUGGAUUUCGUGACAGAGUAAAGAGAGGGAAAAACAGCGAUGCUCCAGCCGAGGAACCCGGCAGACGCCACCGGAAUGAAGGGAGCCAGGUCAACACCAGCUGAGGGGUCCUCCUCCUCACACCUAUGAUCCCGAUCUAACCGCGAGGAAAACGUCAGACAGAUCAGACUGAGGGACAUUCUAGAAAACACCUGACCGGUACUCCUCAAACUGUCACGGGCAUGAGAAACAAGGAGAGACCGGGGAACUGUCACAGGUUGGAGGAGACCAAGGAGACGGGACGAAUAAACGCAGCGUGGCAUCCUGGAUUGGAUCCUGGAACAGAAGGAGGACGUUGGCGGAAAAACGGGUGGAAGAUGGAUAAAGUCUGGAAUCCAAUUAAUAGACUACUAAUUCAUGCUAAAUUCUUCGUUUUGACAAAGGUACUGUAAUUAUGUAGGAUGUUAAUAAGCUGGGUGUAGGGUAUAAGGGAAGUCUCUGUUCCAAAUUUGCAGCUUUUCUGUAAAUCUAAAAUUAUUAAAUAAAAACAGCUUUCUUAAGUGCCUAC